UACGAAGGGGGCUAGCGUUGCUCGGAAUUACUGGGCGUAAAGGGCGCGUAGGCGGCACUGUUAGUCAGGCGUGAAAGUCCUGGGCUCAACCUGGGAACUGCGCUUGAUACGGCAGAGCUAGAGGAUGGAAGAGGCUCGCGGAAUUCCCAGUGUAGAGGUGAAAUUCGUAGAUAUUGGGGAAGAACACCGGUGGGCGAAGGCGGCGAGCUGGUCCAUUACUGACGCUGAGGCGCGACAGCGUGGGGGAGCAAACAGG
rnacentral:rRNA from 1 species